AAUAUGUGCAGUUUUGUACUAUUCAUAUUCAAUGUUUGAUCAUUUGUUUUAUUUGAAAAUAUUUUAUGAUUAGUACUUUUAUUGCUAUUAGAUGAUAAAACAUGAAUAGUACUUUAUGUGUGACUAAAUAUUUUUAAAUUUUUCACAAAUUUUUUAAAUAAGUUAGACGGUCAAAUAUUAGGCAUGGAUAUCCACGGCUACACUUAUU
rfam:Oryza glaberrima chromosome 6 Oglab06_0167_3, whole genome shotgun sequence.